rnacentral:rRNA from 1 species
UACGUAGGGAGCAAGCGUUGUCCGGAAUCAUUGGGCGUAAAGAGCGCGUAGGUGGCUUUAUAAGUCCGUUGUGAAAGUCAAAGGCUCAACCUUUGAAAGCCGAUGGAUACUGUGAAGCUAGAGUACGGAAGAGGCGAGUGGAAUUCCUGGUGUAGCGGUGGAAUGCGCAGAUAUCAGGAGGAACACCAAUAGCGAAGGCAGCUCGCUGGGACGUUACUGACGCUGAGGAGCGAAAGCGUGGGGAGCAAACAGG